rnacentral:sRNA from 1 species
AUUUAGCCCCGAUAGCAGCGGUAUCCUUUUUUGUCUCGUUUGGAGAACGAGACAAAAAAGAUACAAGCGGAUAGCGGGACGAAAG